rnacentral:tRNA from 1 species
GUCCCCGUAGCUCAGUGGACAGAGCAGUGGCCUCCUAAGCCGCGCGCCGCAGGUUCGACUCCUGCCGGGGACACCG